GACGAACGCUGGCGGCGCGCCUAACACAUGCAAGUCGAACGAGCGAGAGAGAGCUUGCUUUCUCGAGCGAGUGGCGAACGGGUGAGUAACGCGUGAGGAACCUGCCUCAAAGAGGGGGACAACAGUUGGAAACGACUGCUAAUACCGCAUAAGCCCACGGCUCGGCAUCGAGCAGAGGGAAAAGGAGCAAUCCGCUUUGAGAUGGCCUCGCGUCCGAUUAGCUAGUUGGUGAGGUAAUGGCCCACCAAGACGACGAUCGGUAGCCGGACUGAGAGGUUGAACGGCCACAUUGGGACUGAGACACGGCCCAGACUCCUACGGGAGGCAGCAGUGGGGAAUAUUGCACAAUGGGGGAAACCCUGAUGCAGCGACGCCGCGUGGAGGAAGAAGGUCUUCGGAUUGUAAACUCCUGUUGUUGGGGAAGAUAAUGACGGUACCCAACAAGGAAGUG
rnacentral:rRNA from 1 species